CCUACGGGAGGCAGCAGUGGGGGAUAUUGCACAAUGGGGGGAACCCUGAUGCAGCGACGCCGCGUGGGUGAAGGAGCGUUUCGGCGCGUAAAGCCCUAUCGGCAGGGAAGAAGAUGACGGUACCUGACCAAGAAGCCCCGGCUAACUACGUGCCAGCAGCCGCGGUAAUACGUAGGGGGCAAGCGGUACCCGGAUGUACUGGGUGUAAAGGGGGCGCAGACGGCAAGGCAAGACAGGAGUGAAAGUCCGGGGCCCAACCCCGGGACUGCUCUUGGAACUGCAUGGCUGGAGUACAGGAGGGGCAGGCGGAAUUCCUAGUGUAGCGGUGAAAGGCGUAGAUAAUAGGGGGAA
rnacentral:rRNA from 1 species